rnacentral:rRNA from 1 species
GAUGAACGCUGGCGGCGUGCCUAAUACAUGCAAGUCGAGCGAACAGACGAGGAGCUUGCUCCUCUGACGUUAGCGGCGGACGGGUGAGUAACACGUGGAUAACCUACCUAUAAGACUGGGAUAACUUCGGGAAACCGGAGCUAAUACCGGAUAAUAUAUUGAACCGCAUGGUUCAAUAGUGAAAGACGGUUUUGCUGUCACUUAUAGAUGGAUCCGCGCCGCAUUAGCUAGUUGGUAAGGUAACGGCUUACCAAGGCAACGGUGCGUAGCCGACCUGAGAGGGUGAUCGGCCACACUGGAACUGAGACACGGUCCAGACUCCUACGGGAGGCAGCAGUAGGGAAUCUUCCGCAAUGGGCGAAAGCCUGACGGAGCAACGCCGCGUGAGUGAUGAAGGUCUUCGGAUCGUAAAACUCUGUUAUUAGGGAAGAACAAAUGUGUAAGUAAAUAUGCACGUCUUGACGGUACCUAAUCAGAAAGCCACGGCUAACUACGUG